UACGUAGGUGGCAAGCGUUGUCCGGAUUUACUGGGCGUAAAGAGCGCGCAGGCGGUCGUUCAAGUCGCGUGUGAAAGCCCCCGGCUCAACUGGGGAGGGUCACGCGAUACUGAUCGACUGGAAGGCAGGAGAGGGUAGUGGAAUUCCCGGUGUAGUGGUGAAAUGCGUAGAUAUCGGGAGGAACACCGGUGGCGAAGGCGGGUCUCUGGGCAGUAACUGACGCUGAGAAGCGAAAGCAUGGGGAGCGAACAGG
rnacentral:rRNA from 1 species